rnacentral:miRNA from 1 species
UUUCGGAUUUUCAGUCACAGUU